UUUCCGUAGGUGAACCUGCGGAAGGAUCAUUGUCGAAACCUGCAAAGCAGAACGACCCGCGAACGCGUGAACCCCCGGCGCGGAAAGCGCCAAGGAAUACUACAACGAGACAGCCAGCUCCCUCCGCCCCGUUCGCGGCCAGCGCGGGGAGCCCCGGCGUCUUAUCUUAACAAAAACGACUCUCGGCAACGGAUAUCUCGGCUCUCGCAUCGAUGAAGAACGUAGCGAAAUGCGAUACUUGGUGUGAAUUGCAGAAUCCCGUGAACCAUCGAGUCUUUGAACGCAAGUUGCGCCCGAAGCCGUCAGGCCGAGGGCACGUCUGCCUGGGCGUCACGCAUCGCGUCGCCCCAUCCCCCCCGCGGGAUGGGUGCGGAUGUUGGCCCCCCGUGCCCCUAACUAGGGACGCGGCCGGCCCAAAUGCGAGUCCUUGGCGACGGACGUCACGGCGAGUGGUGGAAUAAUACUCUCAUUUCGCGUCUGACCCGUCGGCAUCGGACGGCCGACCCUUUCGAGCGAAUGCUCUCCGACCGCGACCCCAGGUCAGGCGGGAUUACCCGCUGAAUUUAA
rnacentral:rRNA from 1 species